GAUGAACGCUGGCGGCGUGCCUAAUACAUGCAAGUCGAGCGAACAGACGAGGAGCUUGCUCCUCUGACGUUAGCGGCGGACGGGUGAGUAACACGUGGCUAACCUACCUAUAAGACUGGGAUAACUUCGGGAAACCGGAGCUAAUACCGGAUAAUAUAUUGAACCGCAUGGUUCAAUAGUGAAAGACGGUUUUGCUGUCACUUAUAGAUGGAUCCGCGCCGCAUUAGCUAGUUGGUAAGGUAACGGCUUACCAAGGCAACGAUGCGUAGCCGGCCUGAGAGAGUGAUCAGCAACACUGGAACUGAGACACGGUCCAGACUCCUACGGGAGGCAGCAGUAGGGAAUCUUCCGCAAUGGGCGAAAGCCUGACGGAGCAACGCCGCGUGAGUGAUGAAGGUCUUCGGAUCGUAAAGCUCUGUUAUUGGGGAAGAACGAAUGUGUAAGUAACUAUGCACGUCUUGACGGUACCUAAUCAGAAAGCCACGGCUAACUACGUG
rnacentral:rRNA from 1 species